rnacentral:lncRNA from 1 species
GCCUGUUGCUGGUGCCUUGCUGCGGGAUUUGGGCCUCUAUUGAGCCUACUGCUAAUGGCCUACUGGCUGUGGCUUGCUGGCAGCACAGGUUGGGUCUGGGUCAACUAGCACAGGUUGGGUCGGACCCGACUAUUAUAUAUAUAUUUUUAUUUUUUCUUUCCUUUUUAUUUUUUCCUUUCUUUUUUUCUUUUUCUUCUUUCUUUUGCAAACCCUAACUCUUCACGCCGCUACCGUUUCUCUUCGCCCGGUGGUGCAACGGUGGCCGGUCUCCCUCUUUUUCUCCUUCUAUUUUUCUUUUCUCUCCUCUUUUUUUCUUCCUUUCUCCUUUCCUUUCUUCCCCUCUUUUUCCUUCUUUUCUAUUUUCGAAAUCCUCAACUUUGAAGGCGUCACCACCGCCCCAAUUCGCCGCUCACAGCUCGGUUCUCCUCCGCCCUCGGUGGCCGUGGAAAAAGGAUGAAAUAUCUUGCUAUUUUUUUGAUUUUCCUGCUAUCUUUUGACUGUUUUUUAUUUUUUUCUUCUUGCUUCUUGCUUUUUGGUUGCUUGUUGAUUGUUGUGUUGGAUUUGUUUUUUUUUGGUGAUGGUGAAGGAUGAGGGUGGAAGGGCCGUGGGUGUGAUGGUUUUGGGAGAGCGACGGGGGGUGCGAGCGGAGGUUGGUUUUGAUUGUGCAGCCGUGGAAGACCACGGGUCGAUAAGGGUGGAUUCGGGCUUGAGGGUGGCGAGUGGUGGUUGAUUCAGUUCUGGGGGGACUGAAUAGAGGUUCCAUUUUGCUCUCUAUUUUUCUCUUUUUUCUUGCUGAAAAACCGAACCCUCUCUUCCUCUCAUUUUUCCCUUUUU